CCGGACUCCUACGGGAGCUGAAUCUCGUCUCCAACUCCAUCUACAGGCAGACUCUGUCCGGACUCCUACGGGAGCCGGACCUCAUCCCCAACUUUAAUUGUAGGUGGACUUCGAUCGGACUCCUACGGGAGCCGAAUCUCAUCUCCAACUCCGGCUACAGGCAGACUCCAUCUGGACUCCUAUGGGAGCCAGACUUCGUCCCCAACCUCAACGGCUGGAAGGCUU
rnacentral:lncRNA from 1 species